rnacentral:tRNA from 1 species
ACUUAAAUAGCCUAAGACUAAGGGCGUUACAUUGAAGCUGUAGAGGUGACGGUAAGUCUUUGAGUA